CCCAAGCGAUCCAUCCUAGCUAACUACAGUCCAGUCAGAUCCAUUGAUCGAGAGCUAGAGAGUAAAUUUCCCAACCAUGGCUUGCAAGAUGAUCGUAGCUGCAGCUACAUCUGUCCUAGUGCUGUCGUUCCUUUUGCCGUCAGGUAACAAACAUCUGCAUCUCCUCGUCUUCUUCUUCUACCCUCCUAUGCUCAUGGCUGUUAGAGACAUGGAUAUCUUGCAUGCGUAUUCAAAUAGGAGUUCUAGAGUAUCUAGAGAUAGAUUCUUUAUCUGCUCGUAUUAUCUCAAGUCUUGUAACAGAACUCCAUCUUGUGUACGCCACACUAGGCUGCGGCGCUGGUUCGCAGAUAGGCGGCGCCGGCUGCACGUUCUACCCCAGCAGAGUUUCCUCCUGCGAGUUGUGUAAACCUCGGUGCCAAGAGGAGGGCAACGUCAGCGGAUUCUGCGACGGUGACAAGAGGUGCAUCUGCAUACACUGCUCAUCAUCGCAUGAUAAGAGCCAGCAGAGCUCGAGCCCGUCGCCUCUGAUGCCGGCGCCGGAGGCCAGGGGUGCGUGGCCAUGAUGAAUGUUAGAGUAGAAAGAUUUCUGCGCACCACCAUGAAUGGAUUUAUAGCAGUUUGUUGGUUUUGUAUCCGGAGAAAAUAAGGUGGUGGUGUUUCGUGUGGCAAAAA
rnacentral:lncRNA from 1 species